ACUAGAAUGAACGGCUAAAUGAGGAUUAAACUGUCUCUUGCACCCAGCCAAUGAAACUGAUCUUUUAGUUCAAAAGCUAAAAUAAACACAUAAGACGAGAAGACCCUGCGGAGCUUUAAACCAAGCUCACCUACCAUGACACCUUGGUUUUUAGUUGGGGCGACUUCGGAGCACAAAAAACCCUCCGAUAUGGAAUUUCCCACAUUCAGAUCAACACAUCAAAACACUGAGACCCAGCAACCUAAUACUAGCUUGCCUGAUCAAUGAACCAAGUUACCCCAGGGAUAACAGCGCCAUCCUCUUCUAGAGUCCCUAUCGACAAGGGGGUUUACGACCUCGAUGUUGGAUCAGGACCCCCCAAUAGUGCAGCCGCUAUUAAAG
rnacentral:rRNA from 1 species